rnacentral:rRNA from 1 species
AUGCAGCUGGAGAUCAAGAACGCCAUGCGCGACGCGCUUACUUCCCCGCUGGCCUUUGAAGAUGGCGGCCGCUCGCCGCCCCACGCUUCGACGCGCCGUGGGGCCGUGGACGGCUUCCCGGAGGACGACAUUCUGCCAUGCAUCGCCGACCUCGAUGCCCCUCUCAGCAGCCCUUGCAUCUCCACCCCGGCUCCUGCUGCUGUGGGUUUUCAAGUCGCCGCCAUAACCCAGAAGGUUGACUGCCUCCACAUCGAUGCUGGGUAA